rnacentral:rRNA from 1 species
GAGAUGUGGGUAGUCCGCACGAGCGCACCUCACUUUUAGUUGCCAUCAUUAAGUUGGGCACUCUGAAAGAACUGCCAGUGAUAAGCUGGAGGAAGGUGGGGAUGACGUCAAGUCCUCAUGGCCCUUACGUGUUGGGCUACACACGUGCUACAAUGGCAUCUACAACAGGAAGCAAAACGGCAACGUUAAGCAAAUCCCGAAAAGAUGCCUCAGUUCGGAUUGCACUCUGCAACUCGAGUGCAUGAAGCUGGAAUUACUAGUAAUCGUGGACCAGCGUGCCACGGUGAAUGCGUUCCCGGGUCUUGUACACACCGCCCGUCACACCAUGGGAGUUGGUUCUACCUUAAGGCAAGGUUUUAAACCCUUGACCACGGUAUAGUCAGCGACUCGGGUGAAGUCGUAACAAGGUAGCCGUAGGGGAACCUGCGGCUGGAUUACCUCCUUUCU